ACACCCGCAGCACAAGUAGUGGUCACUUUUAUCGAGCCUAAAGCGUUCGUAGCCGGUUUUGUAAAUCUCCAGAUAAAGCCUGAAGCUUAACUCCAGAAAGUCUGAAGAGACUGCAAGACUUGAGAUCGGGUGAGGUUAAGCGUACUUUCAGGGUAGGGGUAAAAUCCUGUAAUCCCGGAAGGACGACCAGUGGCGAAAGCGUUUAACUAGAACGAAUCUGACGGUAAGGAACGAAGGCUAGGGUAGCAAACCGGAUUAGAUACCCGGGUAGUCCUAGCUGUAAACAUUGCCCAUUUGAUGUUGCUUUCCCGUUGAGGGAAGGCAGUGUCGGAGCGAAGGUGUUAAAUGGGCCGCUUGGGAAGUAUGGUCGCAAGACUGAAACUUAAAGGAAUUGGCGGGGGAGCACCGCAACGGGAGGAAUGUGCGGUUUAAUUGGAUUCAACGCCGGAAAACUCACCGGGAACGACCUGUGCAUGAGAGUCAACUUGACGAGCUUACUCGAUAGCAGGAGAGGUGGUGCAUGGCCGUCGUCAGCUCGUACCGUAGGGCGUUCACUUAAGUGUGAUAACGAGCGAGACCCACAUCUUUAAUUGCAAAUGUAUAUGGGAAUAUGCAUGCACUUUAGAGAAAGC
rnacentral:rRNA from 1 species